UCAAGAAACAUUUUUGCAGCAGGACGUGAAGAAACGUUGACGAACGUCAGCCUAAGUGGAUCACGACGUGUCCUAACCCAGUUUCUGACGAGUGGCGUGAGAAGUGCUGGAGGAGAAUCGACUUCACGGGUCAUCACCGAGACCUGAUGACGUCGAUGGCAACUCGAGAACUUGUUUGUCGCCUGCUGCCGGCCGGGGGAUCGGGUAUAUAACAGGCCGCUACCGGCUUCCUCCCAUUCACUCUUCGCUCUGGUCGAGUGACUUCGUCUUCCAUCGCAAUACUCAUCUUCUGCUUCCAGUCUUACUGCUCCACUGCUCAAGUCUUCUCUGACGGCAAAGAUGCACACGAACAAAGUCCUAAUAGCCGCGAUCUUCGCAAUGACCCUUGUGUCCGCCACGAUGGUGUCAGCGCGGCAUCUCGAGUCUUCUCCAUCAGACGAUCUUGUGGAAGCUGCCUCCGACCUGACCCACGCCCUUGAAUCAAUCAUAGACUCACUGAGGAACGGGCGUUCGUCAGGUCGUCGUCGUCGCAUGGUCCAGUUCGACGUCGGCAGAUACCAUCACAGUCCCAGGAAUUUCAGUCCAUCCUCAAGGCGCAGGCAGCGGGACUACAGGAACCAGAGAGGCGGAGGCCGCUUCGGCGACAUCAGCGACCACUAAUGCGACAAAGAACAAUAAGUUGGUUCUCAGAGGUGGAGAUGGGAUGUCGUGGAUGAUGUAGGUCAACAAAACAGGACACAAUUCUAGGAAACCCUUAAGGUUGACGAGUCAGAGGAUGGUUGAGGGGGGAAAGUAUUCUUCAAUGGAAUUAAUUCAUCAGGGGGUUCUUGUCAGGAGAUAUUGUUGUUUACCACAUGUCAGUCAUGUCCGGAACAUGAUGCUGUACCACUCACACAGUUCUUAACCCUCAUUUGAGGAUCAAUCAAAUAUCUUUCACUCUUUAAUUUUUUUUAAAUCUGAUGUGGCAGCUAGCCUGUCUGUUCUCAACUCGGGAUCUCUUUGUGUGUUGUAACUUAUGAGUUUUAGGAAUGCGACUGAGUGUUGAGUGAGAGUCAGAAUUUGAGAGGAAAAAAGUGCAAGAGAGAGAGAGAUUGAAAGAAAGUAUUUUAUGGCUGGCUAUUUCCUUCAUAUUUGUUACAAACAAGGAAUGGUCUUGGUCAAUCAUCACUUAGCAACCUCUAUGUAGAUGAAGUAAAUCAUGUCAUUUGUAUGAUCCCAUCACUUGUCCAUAAUUAUGUCUUCAUUUCUCCAGCCUUCAUUAUUUGUCCUAGUCUGUGCUGGGUAGUUUUUUCUUUAUUUUCUGCGUACAUCUGAGGUGUGCUUGUGUACAUUGGAGGUCUGGUUGUGUACAUUGGAGGUCUGGUUGUGUACAAUUUGUGUUACGAAUGUCGGAGAAGCGAGAAACGAGUCAAAAGACAAAAUGUAUUGAGACGCAAAACAUUUGAUAUUUUCAUUUUUCAGUUACUUUACGUUUGAGUGUGGGAAAUAAAUCCAUCAGGUAUAUUCCUAACCUGUGUGUGUAUGUGUGUGCACGUGUAUGUCUGAGACAGUGGAGACCUAGAAGAGAAAGAUAAGGUUCCAGCUUCCAUGUCGUAACGAUAGCUAGAAGUUUCUUGUGAUAUUUCGAAGUGCAUUACCUUUAAAGUCAGCAAUAUGAGUAUUAGUAGAUUGUCAUUGGAUCACAGAAUUUAGAGUCAAUAAAGAAUUGUUUAUAAGCUUA
rnacentral:lncRNA from 1 species